AGGUGUGGAAUGAGAUGGUCUUUAAGGUCCCUUCCAUACCAUGACUCCAUGAUAACUUUCACUUUGCCAUUCUCCUAGAAACUUUCCUCACGAGACAAAUACACAGGUUGGGGCUACAAACGACCUUCUUGCUGUCCAGUGAAGAGGUGUUGCAGGGAGGACUUUUGCUGCAGCUCCUGUCCACGGAGACCUGUGUGGAAACCAGCCUGAGUGAAAGCCAGCAUAGGACAGAGUUCCUCCAGAACAGGGGAAGAGUUUUCCAGUCUCAAAGAUCCAAAGGUUUUUGGCCAGAGUUCAAGAUGGGAUCCUGGGUUCAGGGGAUUUGCUCCAAUAGAGGCAUUUUCAUGUUCUCCUGCCACAGGAAAUCAGAGACAUUCCCUUGUGAAGAUGGAUGUGAUGAGGAAGGUCUGCCAUUAAAAAGCUCCAACGCUCCCUGCACAGACAUGUUUCUAAAGGUGUAAAGAGUUGCUCACCAGGCUGGAGGGAUCACAGGAAAUACUGCAGUGGGGAUCCUGCUGCAGUGGGUGCCUCAGCCUGCCUGGGCUGGAGCUGUAGGAGGAAAUGCACAGUGUCAUCUCGGUCGGUGUAGAUGGAUUUUAGGCGGUGCCACCCGAGGCUGCCCUGCCGAGACAAAUUCUGCUUCCAGAGGUGCAGGCUGAGCCUCAGGGGGUGUUGUAUGGAUGCACCUCCUGAAGUGGAGAGGUGUGCUGACAGCAA